rnacentral:lncRNA from 1 species
CUGCUUCUCUUCUUCUCCUCUUCUUCCCUUCUCCUCCCCGACGCCCCACACAUGAACUCCUCUGUUUGCUCCUACACGAAACAGAGGUGCUGCAGCCCUAGCUACUGCUGCUCUCUCUCUUACCUCUCCCUUUUCCCUCUCUUCUUCUUCUUCUUUUCUUCUCUUCUCCCUCUUCUUCCUCUCUUCUUUUCCCUCUUCUUCUUCUUCUCUUCUUCUCCUCUUCCCUUUUCCUCCCCAACGCCACACACCUCCUCGCUGCAACCUUCCCGCAGCUAUCCUCCUCUCUUCUUCUUCUUCUUCUUCUUCUCUGCUCCCUCUUCUUCCUC